GAACGCCAUUGCCAAGGGAAAAAGUCACAAAUUUGUGUUUUUUCAUCGUGAACUUCACGUGGAUGGAAGUUUUAACCCUUCAAUAAUUUCCCUUUAUCAAUAAUUUUGUACAAAUUUUGGGUAUUUAAGUUAAAAGCAUCCUAGUGUUGUUAGAGGAUGUGUUCCAGGUUAACAGCAUACACAUGCCCUCUCAAUAGUUACCACCUUCACUAUUGUAAGGGUUUUGAAUUUUAGGUUUACCGUAAAUUCAAAAGCUCAUAAUUUUAGCAUAAAUAUGUGACGUCUGAAAGCAACCCUCACAAUACAUAAACAGUUGUGUAUGUUUGGUUUAUUGCAAUAUUUUUAAUAAAAUUUGAAAAUAUUUGAUUGAAA